GGGCACAUGGUGUAGUUGGUUCCGCUUAGCAUUGUCACUUUGCUUGCGGGCGGUGCCCGGUUCAAUUCCGGGUGUGUCCA